rnacentral:pre_miRNA from 1 species
GGUAUAAUUACAGAGCUCAGGAGGGAUAGCGCCCAUCUCAGUCUUUUUUAGCAUCCAAUUGAAAUGGUUAACAUUCCUUUGGAUAGCUAGACGGCGAAGCAUGGCGCUGUCCAUUCUGAGCAUUGCAUUUGUACC